GACGAACGCUGGCGGCGUGCUUAACACAUGCAAGUCGAACGGAAAGGCCCCUUUGGGGGUACUCGAGUGGCGAACGGGUGAGUAACACGUGAGUAACCUGCCCUUGACUUCGGGAUAACUUCAGGAAACUGGGGCUAAUACCGGAUAGGAAUCCUUGCUGCAUGGUGGGGGUUGGAAAGCUUCGGCGGUUUUGGAUGGACUCGCGGCUUAUCAGCUUGUUGGUGGGGUAGUGGCUUACCAAGGCUUUGACGGGCAGCCGGCCUGAGAGGGCGACCGGCCACAUUGGGACUGAGAUACGGCCCAGACUCCUACGGGAGGCAGCAGUGGGGAAUAUUGCACAAUGGGCGGAAGCCUGAUGCAGCAACGCCGCGUGCGGGAUGACGGCCUUCGGGUUGUAAACCGCUUUCAGCAGGGGCGAAGCUUUUGUGACGGUACCUGCAGAAGAAGCACCGGCUAACUACGUG
rnacentral:rRNA from 1 species